rnacentral:rRNA from 1 species
GAUGAACGCUGGCGGCGUGCCUAAUACAUGCAAGUCGAGCGAACGGACGAGAGGCUUGCUUCUCUGAUGUUAGCGGCGGACGGGGGAGUAACACGUGGAUAACCUACCUAUAAGACUGGGAUAACUUCGGGAAACCGGAGCUAAUACCGGAUAAUAUUUUGAACCGCAUGGUUCAAAAGUGAAAGACGGUCUUGCUGUCACUUAUAGAUGGAUCCGCGCUGCAUUAGCUAGUUGGUAAGGUAACGGCUUACCAAGGCAACGAUGCAUAGCCGACCUGAGAGGGGGGUCGGCGACACUGGAGCUGAGGCGCGGUCCGGAAGACUACGGGGGGCAGCAGCAGGGAAUCUUACGCAAAGGGCGAAGGCAUGACGGAGCAACGCCGCGUGAGUGAUGAAGGUCUUCGGAUCGUAAAACUCUGUUAUUGGGGAAGAACAAAUGUGUAAGUAACUGUGCACAUCUUGACGGUACCUAAUCAGAAAGCCACGGCUAACUACGUG